rnacentral:rRNA from 1 species
AACGCUGGCGGCAUGCCUUACACAUGCAAGUCGAACGGCAGCACGGGAGCAAUCCUGGUGGCGAGUGGCGAACGGUGAGUAAUAUAUCGGAACGUGCCCAGUCGUGGGGGAUAACGUAGCGAAAGCUACGCUAAUACCGCAUACGAUCUAUGGAUGAAAGCGGGGGAUCGCAAGACCUCGCGCGAUUGGAGCGGCCGAUAUCAGAUUAGGUAGUUGGUGAGGUAAAGGCUCACCAAGCCGACGAUCUGUAGCUGGUCUGAGAGGACGACCAGCCACACUGGGACUGAGACACGGCCCAGACUCCUACGGGAGGCAGCAGUGGGGAAUUUUGGACAAUGGGCGCAAGCCUGAUCCAGCAAUGCCGCGUGCAGGAUGAAGGCCUUCGGGUUGUAAACUGCUUUUGUACGGAACGAAACGGUGAGCUCUAAUACAGUUUGCUAAUGACGGUACCGUAAGAAUAAGCACCGGCUAACUACGUG